GAGAGGUUCAGUGUCUUGUCUGUGCUCACACCACCAGUCACAGAGGAGUUGGGCUUAGCUCUGGCAGUCUCUCAAGGGCGCCCUGUCUACUCCCCACUCUGUUUGCACAGCUAUUGGCUUUGCUCCAUCACCAGGGACAGAAGACCUGGAGCUAAGGUCAAAUUGCAUUCAACAUGAGCCUACUACCUUCACCUAAAUUUAGAACAAGACAGCUCCAACCAGCUCUGCCCCAGCAGAACAGAGGCAUGUGGAUUGAUAAUGGGCAAGAGAAAACCCAGCAGGUGCCACAGAACCACCCCGCCAUGGGAGCCAGGAGGGGGUGCCAUCCCUGUGCGGAGCAGAAGGCAUCCUGGGAAUAUCGCUUUGGGGUCUGAGAUGCUCAGCUCACUGCCAUGUCACCAGACUUCCAUCAGAGGGUCACCAAGUUCCUAGCCAUACGAAUAAAAUCUGCACGUCUAAGGUUGAAAACAA